GACCGUAGGUCUCCAGCUAGCUUGUUGGGAUUUCAGUAGAAAGUUGAUCCUAAGAUCUCUUUUGUUUAAUGUUUGAAGAAAUCAGAGUAUCAGUUUCAACACCAUGACUGGACAGUUAUAGCCAUACUCCUAUAACCAUCUCUGUAAAGAAGUGCCUCAUGUCAUCAGUUUUUAAAAUAUUUUGUGUAGUUCCCACAUGUUUCAUCUGCUUCAAUUUUCAUGAUGGUUCUGAUGAAGUCCAUAAGGUUAACUUUAUCAGUGCCUUGGAGGACUCCACCUGGAUCGGCGUACCAACAUAUCUGGUAUUCUGUUCUGCUCCAGACCAAAAACAUCCAAUUCUUUCAGCAUACCAGACUGGGACACGUCUUAGAUCCUGAGAGCCUGUUUGUUCUCUGGACUGACUCCACGUCACUCUUAACUAGCAGGCCUCCUGUAGUGGUUAUCUAACAAAUCAGAGCUACACUGAGCACUUCUACCAUUCAACACGGAAAUGACCAUUCAGGUUACUUUUAACGUCUCCUCGCGCGGAAUUCUCCUUUUGCAACAUAGCCCAGCCUAUGCAACUGACAGAAAGCUAAAGACUCCUUUAACUGAAGCUGUUGGACAAGUGAAAGCGUUGCUGCAACAACAGAUGGCAGUUCAGUCGGUCGCCUUGAUUCGUAAUGUGCUCACAAACAAGGAAAACCUCCCAAGAGACGGCUUCACCCAAGAUUUAGAUAAGCUGUUGAGCAACACUCUCUGCCGUGACCUGCUUUCAGCUGUGGAAUGUGACAAUCACUGAGCAGCCAUCUGCCUCCACCAUCACACAAGGGCACGCCAGACCACGGUGCAAAACUAUCUGGGACUUAUCUCCCUCUCUCUCUCUCUCUCUGUUUUUUUUUCUAAAUUGGCUCUGAAUAUUUCUUCUAUGAAUAUGCCUUGUGGUAACACUGCGUGACGGUGAGGGGUGACAGUCGGAGCACGCUGCACACAGCUUAUGGUGGUCAAGAGAGCCUUUGAAAAGCCACAGCCCUCCCGCCCUGGCUCGCGCAGAGGCUGAGAUCGGCCAGUCCCCCUCGGGCUUGCGCCCCAGGUUCCAGAAAAAACCCAACUGGAAUCAUUCGGCGGCGAUCGUCUUCCUGCUGCUGGAAAAGACCCAGAUCCCGAUGCCAAAACGAGAAACGCGCCCGGCAUGUCAGCGGAGCGGUAAAAAGGAGGGGGAAGAGAGGGGCAAUGAACGGCGGGGGGACAACCAUUUCUUUACGGGAGGAGCGAGCGAGUGAGCAAGGCACAUAAAGAGGGUGUGUGGAAGCAAUGAGUCCGGAUCUGUGACUGGUGAGAGAGGAACUCACGAGGAACUGGGCGUGAUCCGUCAAAAACAAAACAAACCUAAAGAAACGACAUCAGGGUCUUGCAUGGAAGAAGAGCAGAGAGGGCCUGAUAAAAGACUCGGAUCAUGAGACGAAUCUAGCUGAUUCACUGCACUCAAGAUGGUAGCAAGGACAAUAUCGAAAAAUCUACUUAAAGUUAACUGAACAGAUUUCUUCAGAACAGCGAAACACAACCUAGAGGGCACACAUGGAAAUUACGUGGACCUGCAUUUAAAACGGAGAACAUGAGGCCCUUUUUUUCCCCCAAGGUUUGUGUGAGUAAGAAAAAACCUACUUAUCCAUGAGGUUGAAUCCGGUACCUUUGCUUCCGUUAAGAGAUGAGAUGCUUGGAUCUCUUACCUAGUUAUUACCACAUGGGUUAGUUGGGCUGAUUGGCCUUCUCUUGUUUGCUACAAUUCUUCUAUUCUUCUGAUAUCACAUAUUCAUUCAUUGUUUUCCUACAGCUUGAUCAUGUUGAUUGGGCUCUAAGCUUAUUGCUGUUUUUUUUGUCCUGUUACCAUCUCCACUCCUGUUCAUUACCCUGCCUUCGUCAAUCAUUUUGGUUUCAUGGCCUCGAAAGCUGUGCAGUCAAGUCACCAUGCUUCUUCUUCAAUGAUCGACAAAAAUCAUGACAAACCUAGUGCGUUAGUAGGACAACAGCACAGCUUCUAACCCGAGUGCCUUAGUUGUUGCUCAGCACCGAGUGUGUUAGUCAGUGUCUACCCCUGCUUCUGAAAUUGUGUUAAAUCAGGUACAUUAGAUAGUGCCUUAGAGCCCCUGGCAAUUAGCAUAAGUAAUCAUCCGAGCAUUACAGGCAUUAAGGUUGCCAAAACAGAAACCUGUAUGCUAUAUGCUUAUGAUGUAGCUAAGGUUCCUAAGACCCUAAGUUAAUGUUUAAACUUAACUACUCCGUAAUGAUCUUAAAGAUAAAAUAAAAUAUCAAGAGUUGGAGGACUGUCUUCGAGCACAUAAAUGUUAUAAAGAUGAUUUUACUGCCCAGAUUAUAUCUGUUCCAGAAUUUGCCUCGUGUUCCUUACUGAAUUUUUUUUUAAGACUGUAGACUCAAUUAUUACAUCAUUGCUCUGGAACUAUAAGAUGCCACUUAUUUCUAAAGAUCAUUUUAAAAAUCUGCCUUUUGACAUUAUUACUGCACUGCAGGUGCAAGGGUCAUGACAUAUUAGCAAGCUGGCUUUCCCCAAAAGUCUAGUAUAGACAGAAAUACAGCUGUGUGGUUAGACUUUGAAGAACAAGUCCACACUAAAACCUCUGUCGCUGCUCUGCUUUUUUCUGUAAAAUUGAAUCAAAAUAGCACAAGUGUUAUCGUGAGGAACAACAUGGGAAUACUAGAUUGGACUAGAAAUUAGAUAAACCUUUAGUUUAAGUCACAUCCAUGCCAUAACAAAAUGAAGU